GUUCACCUUAGGUCCUCAGAUAGGAGAAGGAGAAGAGAAUGUUCACCUCCUUAUGUCCUCAGAUAGCAGAAGGAGAAGUGAAUGUUCACCUCCUUAGGUCCUCAGAUAGCAGAAGGAGAAGUGAAUGUUCACCUCCUUAGGUCCUCAGAUAGCAGGAGAAGUGAAUGUUCACCUCCUUAGGUCCUCAGAUAGCAGAAGGAGAAGUGAAUGUUCACCUCCUUAGGUCCUCAGAUAGCAGAAGGAGAAGUGAAUGUUCACCUCCUUAGGUCCUCAGAUAGCAGAAGGAGAAGUGAAUGUUCACCUCCUGUCCUCAGAUAGGAGAAGUGAAUGUUCACCUCCUUAGGUCCUCAGAUAGGAUAAGUGAAUGUUCACCUCCUUAGGUCCUCAGAUAGGAGAAGAAGUGAAUGUUCACCUUAUGUCCUCAGAUAGGAGAAGGAGAAGUGAAUGUUCACCUCCUGUCCUCAGAUAGAAGUGAAUGUUCACCUCCUUAGGUCCUCAGAUAGGAGAAGUGAAUGUUCACCUCCUUAUGUCCUCAGAUAGCAGGAGAAGUGAAUGUUCACCUCCUUAUGUCCUCAGAUAGGAGAAGUGAAUGUUCACCUCCUUAAGUCCUCAGAUAGGAGAAGUGAAUGUUCACCUCCACAGGGCCUCAGAUAGGAGAAGGAGAAGUGAAUGUUCACCUCCUUAGGUCCUCAGAUAGGAGAAGUGAAUGUUCACCUCCUUAGGUCCUCAGAUAGGAGAAGGAGAAGUGAAUGUUCACCUCAGGUCCUCAGAUAGGAGAAGGAGAAGUGCAUGUUCACCUCCUUAGGUCCUCAGAUAGGAGAAGUGAAUGUUCACCUCCUUAUGUCCUCAGAUAGCAGAAGGAGAAGUGAAUGUUCACCUCCUUAGGUCCUCAGAUAGGAGAAGGAGAAGAGAAUGUUCACCUCCUUAGGUCCUCAGAUAGGAGAAGUAGAAGAGAAUGUUCACCUCCUUAGGUCCUCAGAUAGGAGAAGAGAAUGUUCACCUCAGAUAGGAAAAGGAGAAGAGAAUGUUCACCUCCUUAGGUCCUCAGAUAGGAGAAGAGAAUGUUCACCUCAGAUAGGAAAAGGAGAAGUGAAUGUUCACCUCCUUAGGUCCUCA